GUUCGGAUUGUAGUCUGNAACCCGACUACAUGAAGCUGGAAUCGCUAGUAAUCGCAGGUCAGCAUACUGCGGUGAAUACGUUCCCGGGUCUUGUACACACCGCCCGUCACACCAUGGGAGCCGGAAAUGCCCGAAGCCAGUGACCCAACCUUAGGGAGGGAGCUGUCGAAGGUGGAGCCGGUAACUGGGGUGAAGUCGUAACAAGGUACC
rnacentral:rRNA from 1 species